GUGCUUGUCCAGCUCUCUAAUUUGUUAAGAUCUCUCUGCAAGACCUGUCCACCCUUGAGGGAGUCAACAGCUCCUCCCAGUUUAGUGUCAUAUGCAAACUUACUUAGUAUACCUUUAAGUCCUGCAUCCAAGUCAUUUAUGAAAGCUUUAAAGAGAACUGGUCCUAAAAUGGAGCCCUGUGGAAUCCUCUAGUGACUGGCCACCAUCCUGAUGUAACCCCAUUUACUAUAACCCUUUGAGCCUGACCCAUCAGCCAACUGUUCACCCAUCACAUUAUGUUUUUGUCCAUCACAAUCUGUUUUUGUCUUUGGCCAGCCAUAACCCAUAACCUUCUUCCAUAGAGGCUGAAAAAGUCUGCGUACCUUAAUACCUGCAAAUCUGAUCCUUCUGUUUACUAUUCAAUUUCAAAUUGUCAGCUGGAGAUUUACAUUGUUAAAAAAAAAAAAAAACACAUGUUAAAAAAAAAAAAAGUUGGAUGCUGUCUGUCAAUAUGACCUGCUAUGUGCAUUGAUGGUCUCCUCCUUCCCAGGACAGAGACAGCUGUGUUGUUCCUGUAGUCCUAAGGGUCCUAAAGAUGCUGCUAAGUCAGGGCUUCAGAAAUAAACAGCUAGUUUAUUAAGAAUAAAGAGUAACUCACUUCAUCAUGCUGCUCUUUGUUUUAAUUUAAUUGAAUGGCAACACUUGUCUGAAGAAAGUUUAUCUUCUGAGAAAAUACUGACAAACCUGAUAACUACAGCACUUGACAUCAUGGUGGGUUUAUUAAUUAUCCAGAUUAAAAACGAACGCUUCAGCCUAUA